CGAGUCUUAAAGGAUUACCUGGUAACAAAAGAAUAAACAGUAAUUCAGCAACUAAAACAGCAUAAAAAUAGCAGCAAAACAGCAACAAAACCAGCAACAAAUCCGUGUUAAAACAACCCGAAAACUUAGAGAGGGAACCCAGAAUCGAACUCUAAAGAGGACUUAUACUUUUUUAAAAGUUUGCACUCUAAGAUUCACUCCCAAAGCUCACCAUUUCAGCUUACUUUUCAUGUGUUCAACUGCUGAAUAUUUUUUUGUUUUUGUGACAAAGCAAUUAAAAAAAAAAAUAACCCCUGGAAGUGUGAUGGAGUCCCCUAUAUAUAUCAAAACAACCAGCUAUUUCAAAAAAUUAAAAAUCAAUCUUUUUGACAGAUUUUUCUACAAAAUCUGCUCUUAAAUUCAAAAAGCAAGACUUUCUAGUUCAAAUCUUGUCAAGUAUUUCAAACAAAAUCUGCUCUCCACUAUUCAAAGAUACAAUUUAUUCAAAUAAUGUCCAAAUGUGUACAUUUUCUUACCAAACAAUUUGACUUUUGAGUGUUGUACUCAAAGAGUCUUGAAGCAGUAAACAAACAACCAAACAAGUACCAUAUACUCUUAAGUAUUUUUCAUUACCUCACUUUUAUCAAUACAAAACUAUUUUACUACUUCAACAAGUGCAAAAACAGAAAAUUUAACAUUUCAAACUUCAAAAACUAAUGCAAAAAUAAUUAAUAAUAGACAAAAAAAAUCUGAAAAUUAAAAAUAAGAAUAAAAAAAUCAGACAUGAAAAAGAAUAGUAUUUUACCAUUUUACACAUGAAAAGGCCGAAAAAUGGUGGUAUGCCAAAGAGGGUAUUCCGGGAGGUUGCAGGAAUUAGGCCGGAUUUUGGUCACCGGAUUUUUGGGGUAGAAUUGACAUCAAUAGCUAGGUCUUGAGGAGCUCUAUUCAUUGAUGUAAGUAUUUUGGGGUGGUAGUGGUUGAAGCUUCAAGAAGUUGGGCAAAAAAAGUGACGGGAAAGUUUCCUGGAUCUAAGAUUCAAGGAGUUUGAGGGAUUUUUUUAAGAUUUGGUUUGGAGAUAUGAAAAGAGGAAGUUGUGGAGAUUACGUGGUGUGAAUUUGGAGGUGUUUGGAGGUGGUCCGCCGCCGGUGGCGAUUUCCGGUAGGCGGCGGUGGGCGGAGUUGGGGCGGCGUAGAGAGAGUGAAGAGAGAGAGAAGAAGGAGAGGGAAAGAAAAGAGAGGAAAUAAGGGGGAAAUG
rnacentral:lncRNA from 1 species